GGCGUUAUAGUGUAGUGGUCAUCACUUGGGAUUUUGAUAUACGAUUUCCCGGAACCCAGGUUCGAACCCUGGUAACGCCU